rnacentral:rRNA from 1 species
UACGGGAGGCAGCAGUGGGGAAUUUUGGACAAUGGGGGCAACCCUGAUCCAGCAAUGCCGCGUGAGUGAAGAAGGCCUUCGGGUUGUAAAGCUCUUUUGUCAGGGAAGAAACGGUUCUGGCUAAUACCCGGAGCUAAUGACGGUACCUGAAGAAUAAGCACCGGCUAACUACGUGCCAGCAGCCGCGGUAAUACGUAGGGUGCGAGCGUUAAUCGGAAUUACUGGGCGUAAAGCGUGCGCAGGCGGUUGUGCAAGCAGAUGUGAAAUCCCCGGGCUCAACCUGGGAAUUGCAUUUUGUGACUGUACGGCUAGAGUGUGUCAGAGGGGGUAGAAUUCCACGUGUAGCAGUGAAAUGCGUAGAGAUGUGGAGGAAUACCGAUGGCGAAGGCAGGCCCCUGGGGAUAACACUGACGCUCAUGCACGAAAGCGUGGGGAGCAAACAGGAUUAGAAUACCC